UACGUAGGGUGCGAGCGUUAAUCGGAAUUACUGGGCGUAAAGCGUGCGCAGGCGGUUCGUUGUGUCGGCGGUGAAAGCCCCGGGCUUAACCUGGGAAUGGCCGUUGAAACUGGCGAACUGGAGUGUGGCAGAGGGGGGUGGAAUUCCGCAUGUAGCAGUGAAAUGCGUAGAGAUGCGGAGGAACACCGAUGGCGAAGGCAGCCCCCUGGGCUGACACUGACGCUCAGGCACGAAAGCGUGGGGAGCAAACAGG
rnacentral:rRNA from 1 species